rnacentral:lncRNA from 1 species
ACCUCCUGGAGAACCAGGACCACCCCUGGGGACCUCCCGGCCAGCUGGGGCCACCACUGUGGACCUCUUGGAGAGCCCGGACCACCACUGUGGUCCUCCUGGAGAGCUGGGACCACCCCAGGGGACCUCCUGGAGAGCCAGGGCCACCACUGGGGACCUCCUGGAGAACCAGGACCACCCCUGGGGACCUCCCGGUCAGCUGAGGCCACCACUGUGGAUCUCUUGGAGAGCCGGGACCAUCACUGCGGUCCUCCUGGAGAGCCAGGGCCACCCCAGGGGACCUCCUGGAGAGCCAGGACCACCCCGGGGACCUCCUGCUCAGCUGGGACCACCCCAGGGAACCUCCUGGAGAGCCAGGACCAUCACUGUGGUCCUCCUAGAGAGCCAGGGCCACCACUGUGAACCUUCUGGAGAACCAGAACCACCACUGUGGUCCUCUUGGAGAGCCGCGACCCCCCCGGGGACCUCCUGGAGAGCCGGGACCACCACGGACGCCCCAUCCCCAAGUCCAAUGCCCUCCUCUUCCUCCCUCCCCGCCCCAGGGCCACGACAACCUCUACGACGACCCCUACCAGCCCGAGGUGGAAGCCCAGAGCUCGGCGGCGGCGGCCGCCCGGCGCCGGGCCUACUGCCGCAACCGGGAGCACUUCGCCACCAUCCGCACGGCGUCGCUGGUGACGCGGCAGAUCCAGGAGCACGAGCAGGACUCGGCGCUGCGCGAGCAGAUGAGCGGCUACAAGCGCAUGCGGCGCCAGCACCAGAAGCAGCUCAUGGCGCUGGAGAACAAGCUCAAGGCCGAGCUGGACGAGCACCAGCUGCGCCUCGACAAGGAGCUCGAGGCCCACCGCAGCAACUUCAGCGCCGAGGCCGAGAAGCUGGCCAAGAAGCACCAGGCCAUCUUCGAGAAGGAGGUAGGGAAGGGGGGCACGGAGCUGGAAGAGGUGGGGUGGGAGUUAUGGGGGGUUGGAGGUGCUCCAGACCAUCUUGGAGAAGCAGGCGGCAGGAUCUGGACCAGGGAGCGGAGUUAGAAGAGCUGGGAUGGGAUCUCUGGGGGUUGGAGGUGCACCAGACCAUCUUGGAGAAGGAAAAGGUGGGAUCUGGACCAGGGAGCGGAGUUAGAGGAGGUGGGAUGGGAUCUUUGGGGGGUUGGAGGUGCUCCAGACCA